rnacentral:misc_RNA from 1 species
CCGUCAAUUCCUUUGAGUUUUAAUCUUGCGACCGUACUCCCCAGGCGGAUAACUUAAUGCGUUAGCUGCGCCACUCAGGAUCGUAGACCCCGAACAGCUAGUUAUCAUCGUUUACGGCGUGGACUACCAGGGUAUCUAAUCCUGUUUGCUCCCCACGCUUUCGUACCUCAGCGUCAAUAUAUGUCCAGUUAGUCGCCUUCGCCACUGGUGUUCUUCCGAAUAUCUACGAAUUUCACCUCUACACUCGGAAUUCCACUAACCUCUCCAUAAUUCUAGCGAUCUAGUUUCAAAGGCAGUUCUGGAGUUGAGCUCCAGGCUUUCACCUCUGACUUGAAUCACCGCCUACGUACUCUUUACGCCCAGUAAUUCCGAACAACGCUAGCUCCCUCCGUAUUACCGC